GGGGAAUUUUGCGCAAUGGGGGAAACCCUGACGCAGCAACGCCGCGUGCGGGAUUGAAGGCCUUCGGGUUGUAAACCGCUUUCAGUAGGGAAGAACCUAGACGGUACCUACAGAAGAAGCUCCGGCUAACUACGUGCCAGCAGCCGCGGUAAUACGUAGGGAGCAAGCGUUAUCCGGAUUCAUUGGGCGUAAAGCGCGCGUAGGCGGCUUGUUAAGUCAGGUGUCAAAUCCAGAGGCUCAACCUCUGUCCACACCUGAAACUGGCAGGCUUGAGUUUGGUAGAGGAAGACGGAAUUCCCAGUGUAGCGGUGAAAUGCGCAGAUAUUGGGAGGAACACCGAUGGCGAAGGCAGUCUUCUGGGCCAUAACUGACGCUGAUGGGCGAAAGCUGGGGGAGCGAAC
rnacentral:rRNA from 1 species